AGAGUUUGAUCAUGGCUCAGAAUGAACGCUGGCGGCAGGCCUAACACAUGCAAGUCGAACGGGUACCUUCGGGUGCUAGUGGCGGACGGGUGAGUAACGCGUGGGAACAUACCCUUUGGUACGGAAUAGCCUCGGGAAACUGAGAGUAAUACCGUAUGUGCUCGCAAGAGGAAAGAUUUAUCGCCAAAGGAUUGGCCCGCGUUGGAUUAGGUAGUUGGUGGGGUAAUGGCCUACCAAGCCGACGAUCCAUAGCUGGUUUGAGAGGAUGAUCAGCCACACUGGGACUGAGACACGGCCCAGACUCCUACGGGAGGCAGCAGUGGGGAAUCUUAGACAAUGGGGGAAACCCUGAUCUAGCCAUGCCGCGUGAUCGAUGAAGGCCUUAGGGUUGUAAAGAUCUUUCAGAUGGGAAGAUAAUGACGGUACCAUCAGAAGAGCC
rnacentral:rRNA from 1 species